CCUACGGGUGGCAGCAGUGAGGAAUAUUGGUCAAUGGACGAGAGUCUGAACCAGCCAAGUAGCGUGAAGGAUGACUGCCCUAUGGGUUGUAAACUUCUUUUAUAUGGGAAUAAAAUGUUCCACGUGUGGGAUUUUGUAUGUAACAUAUGAAUAAGGAUCGGCUAACUCCGUGCCAGCAGCCGCGGUAAUACGGAGGAUCCGAGCGUUAUCCGGAUUUAUUGGGUUUAAAGGGAGCGUAGGUGGAUUGUUAAGUCAGUUGUGAAAGUUUGCGGCUCAACCGUAAAAUUGCAGUUGAAACUGGCAGUCUUGAGUACAGUAGAGGUGGGUGGAAUUCGUGGUGUAGCGGUGAAAUGCUUAGAUAUCACGAAGAACUCCGAUUGCGAAGGCAGUUCACUGGACUGCAACUGACACUGAGGCUCGAAAGUGUGGGUAUCAAACAGGAUUAGAUACCCCAGUAGUC
rnacentral:rRNA from 1 species